rnacentral:lncRNA from 1 species
GCAUCCUCGUUUUCUUGAACAAACGCAUCCCUAGUCUUGACAAUAUGUCGAUUUUUUUUUCUUGGGGCAGUUUCCAACUUUGUGGCCUUCUUCACCGCAAUACAAGCAUAGCCCUUUCCCAUACAUUGCUUUUUUUCUUCUAGGGUAAGGAAUUUGACACGUACCGCAUCAAUUUGCAUGUCUUCUACCUCUGAAUGUGAAUUUGCACUGCUUGCCGACAUAGUUGGAGUUUGGCGAUCCGUAUGUUGUCUUGAACGUUGGUCUUGGCGACGUUGGAAUAGGCGAUUAUUGUACUUCACAACUUGGCUAAUAGCUUCAUUGAGCGUUUAUGGAUCAGGAAGAGUUAACAACAAAUCCUUCAAAUCAUCCCUUAAA